rnacentral:rRNA from 1 species
CCUACGGGCGGCUGCAGUGGGGAAUAUUGCACAAUGGGCGCAAGCCUGAUGCAGCCAUGCCGCGUGUGUGAAGAAGGCCUUCGGGUUGUAAAGCACUUUCAGCGGGGAGGAAGGCGGUGAGGUUAAUAACCUCAUCGAUUGACGUUACCCGCAGAAGAAGCACCGGCUAACUCCGUGCCAGCAGCCGCGGUAAUACGGAGGGUGCAAGCGUUAAUCGGAAUUACUGGGCGUAAAGCGCACGCAGGCGGUCUGUCAAGUCGGAUGUGAAAUCCCCGGGCUCAACCUGGGAACUGCAUUCGAAACUGGCAGGCUAGAGUCUUGUAGAGGGGGGUAGAAUUCCAGGUGUAGCGGUGAAAUGCGUAGAGAUCUGGAGGAAUACCGGUGGCGAAGGCGGCCCCCUGGACAAGGACUGACGCUCAGGUGCGAAAGCGUGGGGAGCAAACAGGAUUAGAUACCCUUGUAGUC